GCCAGGUGUGGUGGUGUGUGCCUGUAAUACAAGCUACCAGGAGACUGAGGCUAGAGGAUAGUUUGAGCUCAGGACCUCUGAGCUGCAGCAGUAUAUCAGGCAUCCUCGCUCAGCAUGGAUAUGGUGCACCUGUGGGCCCUGGUACCACCAGGUCAUCUAAGGAGGCCUGCACCGGCAGACAGAGCAGGUGAAAGUAGGAUCAAGCUCAUGAAUAGAUGCUGAAGAUCAGCCUGAGCAAUGCAGAAGAAGCAAGUCUUU
ensembl:misc_RNA Metazoa_SRP Metazoan signal recognition particle RNA